UACGUAGGGUGCAAGCGUUGUCCGGAAUUAUUGGGCGUAAAGAGCUCGUAGGCGGUCUGUCGCGUCGGCUGUGAAAUCCCGAGGCUCAACCUCGGGUCUGCAGUCGAUACGGGCAAACUAGAGUAUUGCAGGGGAGACUGGAAUUCCUGGUGUAGCGGUGAAAUGCGCAGAUAUCAGGAGGAACACCGGUGGCGAAGGCGGGUCUCUGGGCAACAACUGACGCUGGAGGAGCGAAAGCGUGGGGAGCGAACCGG
rnacentral:rRNA from 1 species